rnacentral:rRNA from 1 species
AGAGUUUGAUCAUGGCUCAGGACGAACGCUGGCGGCGUGCUUAACACAUGCAAGUCGAACGGAAAGGCCCCUGCUUGCAGGGGUACUCGAGUGGCGAACGGGUGAGUAACACGUGGGUGAUCUGCCCUUCACUUCGGGAUAAGCCUGGGAAACUGGGUCUAAUACCGGAUAGGACCAAUCUUUAGUGUGGUUGGUGGAAAGUUUUUUCGGUGGAGGAUGAGCCCGCGGCCUAUCAGCUUGUUGGUGGGGUAAUGGCCUACCAAGGCGACGACGGGUAGCCGGCCUGAGAGGGUGGACGGCCACAUUGGGACUGAGACACGGCCCAGACUCCUACGGGAGGCAGCAGUGGGGAAUAUUGCACAAUGGGCGGAAGCCUGAUGCAGCGACGCCGCGUGAGGGAUGACGGCCUUCGGGUUGUAAACCUCUUUCGCUAGGGAAGAAGCCUUCGGGUGACGGUACCUGGAUAAGAAGCACCGGCUAACUACGUGCCAGCAGCCGCGGUAAUACGUAGGGUGCAAGCGUUGUCCGGAAUUACUGGGCGUAAAGAGCUCGUAGGUGGUUUGUCGCGUCGUCUGUGAAAUUCCGGGGCUUA